GCGACGUGCCGUUACUUGAGUAUUGGCCACAGCCUGCAAUUGUGGAGCAUUUGACACGGUGAAAACUCUAUACAGAAAGUUGAAAUUCAUUAUUGGAGCGAGAUAUACAACUAGGUGAGCCAACGCAUAGCGUCACUUCAGUAUUGAGAAGACUUUAUUUUGUCCAGACAUGAUCAAACAAAAAAAAAAAGUACUUUUAUCCUGAAUCCAAGACUUAUCACCUUCCACAUGCCUAGCUAUAAGUUCACAGAUAAGGCUAUAAUAUGCUGAAAGAACUGCUAGCCCUAAGCAAUAGCAAAGACUUUUCAGCAGAAAAAAAACAAGUAGUAACUGCUUUAUGCCAACCAAAUUAUUGUAAACACAAAGUACAAGUAAAACCGUCCAUAAUGAUCAUGCUUACGGGGGAAUGAAUGAUAAUACUUAUCCGAAAUCCAUUGGAUAAGUCAGCACUAGCAGCAGAUUUAAAGUUAAACAGAUGAAUCGAACUUGGUCUCUCUGUUAGCAGAAUCAUCAAUCCAUACAAGUCCCCUGCAACAAAAUUGGUGGUUUGGUUACGUAUUAUGAUUUCUUAGAAAUGUGUUAAUUUCCUCAGGAAAUACAUUGGGAUAAAACCUUUAUGUUUUGACCAUAAAAGAAACCAGUCAUGAGUGUCAGGUGAACUGUACUAAAAAGUCCUACCCUGAAACAAGUGCAAGGAAAAAUCAACUUUACUUCACCUAAAAUGAAUUAUUGAUGACCUUAUCUGUACAAAGAAAAAGGCCUCUCAAUGUUAACCAAUAGCUGAUUCCACUACUCUCUAUGACAAACAAUACAUGUCAGGCCACUUUGUAAUACAGAGCACAACCUAGGCAAACUAUAACAGGAAAAAUUGCAGUACAACAGUAACUUUUGAGAGAAAUUGCUGCACCCAUGAAAAGAAUGUAAUUGCAAAAGCUAUAAACAAUUGAUUGCAUUGUGCAUUGAAAUUUUUGUGAAGGGGUAAAAGUACUAGUUAUGUUUUGAUGACUCAGAGAAAACAUCAUUAAAAUUAAAUAACUGCAGAUUCCAACAACAUUAGGUUCAAGCUUAGGGAGUUGAGAUCAAACAGAAAACAGGUAAGUUAAAGAAGCCUCAUAAUAUUUAGUUAAAAAGGAACGGUAGAGCAGAUGGAUUACGUACUUUGCUAGAUUUACUUCCUUUCCUUCUGAUGUAAAAGGGUAUAACAUGCAAGGAGGCAAUAUUUAUACUUCAGACAGAAAAACAAAUUGAAUGAAGCACAUUCCACUUCUAUUAAUGGCUAAAUCAGAAAUUAAACAACUACCCUUAUAACUUUUGCUUUCUUUCACCUGAUAUUCCCAGUGUUUGAACAUUGGAUAUACAUAUUUGAUUUUGGGCUUUACACAGCCCAAAUGCAAGUAAAAGAUCCAAUCACUUAUUAGAAGCCCAAUGCAGUUGCAAUUGAACUACAAGUGCACUGAAUUGGACAAAGCAACCUCCCACGCUAAGUUAAUGAGAUAUUAUUCAACCUCCUAUGCUUUUAUCUCGAGAUCCCUCUCUAAACUUGCAUGUUUUUUAAUUCUUGCUGAACUGUUGUACUUGAGAGUAAAGAAACGUGAUCCUUGUGUAUCGAUCUAUUCAUUUGCUGACUAAUUUACUGCAAUUAUUUUCAGUGACAAAAUGAUGCCAGUUUCAGUGCAAACUGUCCUUAGAUUUUCACCUCUUUGUCCACCCUUUGCAAACUUCAACCCACUAUAAUGAUCCUCAGUCUAAAAAAAGUUAUAAAUUUUACAAUCGAAUUCCUGAUGUCAAAAUUGUUAAGAAUCCAUUUUAAGGAAAAAAAAAAUGGUUAAGCAUCACGGAAAGGAGAGAUUCAAAUGUCAAUAUUCUCAUACGAAGCAAAGCCAACCCAUAAAAACUGCAGUCUUCAUCCAUCACAAUAACAGCACAUCUUUAGCAUCGACUUUCCGUAUAAAUCUUAAUUUGUUACAUUGGAACUAAUAAUCAAUGUCAAUUCAAAUAAGAAGUAGCACAAAGCAUUACCAAAAGAUGAGAUUUACAUUAACCCUUCUAAGUUUCUGCAGAUCAACCUCUUUGAGUUCCUCAUUAUCAUCUGCAUUGUCUAUGGGAAUAUCUUCACUACAAUAAGGUGCCUGCAAAUGCAUCAGCUCGGUAAAGAUCAACCAUGCAAGAGAUUGAACUAUAUUUAGUGUUAUUUUGUCAAAAUACAAGAACAGACAUCAAAGGAGAAGUAAAAGAUUAGAACAGAUUGUGACCGUUGUAUGAAAACACACCAUCUGCCUACACAGCAACGGGUCAUCAGUUAAUUAAUUACACUGCUGAGACUACAAUAACAUAGAAGGCGCAUUAACAAUGUUAGUUCAGACUUCAGAUGGAAAUAUUCACAGUAUUAUAACACAACACAUAUGAAAACAAAAGAGUCUUCCACAGCUGUACACAAUGCAAAUUUUGGAGGGAUUAUACAAACAUCGGGAUCUACCAAGAAAGGUAUCCAUUAGGGGUCAUAACCCGUGAUCAACACAGAAAAUACCUUAAAGGUUGUUCCUUUUUGUUUAAGUUAAAAACAAAAGGAAGAAACAAAGAGAAAAGGGAGCUCCGGCAGAGAUAGAUUUCAAUAGUUAUUUGCUGAAUAGAUUAAAUUAAACUCAUAUGGCACCAGUAACCACCUCUCUUUACUCUUACCAGCAUCUUAUGACACGCACACACGCAAACAAACACAACACAGUCAAUGUCCUGCUGCAAAAAGUCUCUUUGUAGGUGACACCAUUUGCAACAUGUCGAGAAGGAUUGCGACAUGGUGCAGUUUGAACAUAUUCAAAGGGCUAGGUCCCUCUUCAUAGCAGCUUAUCAUUCGCACAAUUGAACUACGGCAAAAGUGGAUAGGACAAUUUAAGGACAUUACAAGGGUGACAAAAAAACAAUUAGAAUUUAUGCUUGGUGAAUCUACAACAGAUGAUAUAUUUUUGCUAAGAAUAUUAAUGAAAAUGUUAAGAGGAAGAGCAAUGUCAUUACUCAUUACCUAUUAGUUAACCUAAAGAAGAAUAAGAUAGAGUACCACGAAGCCAUUUGACUGAUGAAGAAAGAAAUACUUACCAAAUAUAUAAAUGUCAUAAGAAAUGUUUGAAGAAAUGGUCACAAGUAGCAGGAGAAGAUACAAAGAAGUUUCCAAUAGCCGUGCUUAUACUAGUGAUUUGCCUAGAUCCUGAACUCGUCUACCUAUAUUAUAGAUGACCUAACCCAUAGUAUACAAGAUUAGAUUCCAUGGGACAUGCUAUUUCCAGAUGAUAUUGUGUUAAUCAAUGAAACUAGUGAGUGACCCAACCAAAAGUUGCAACCACGGAAAAGCACCAAAAAGAAUAAACGUUUUAGGAUAAGUUUGUAUAAGAAACGAUAGCUGAAGAUGUAAAACGUAGAAUUUAAAUAUGACAGAUGGAAUUGAGAAACAUUAUGGUACUACUACGCGAUAGAAAGAUAGUAAUCAAGUGAAAUGCUAGUUCUGAAGAAUGGUUGUAUUCCUGAUGCUCCUAUCAAUUAUAAUAGCUAAUGAGAGUCUUGACAAUCUCUUACAACAACAUACCCAAUGUAAUCCCACAAGUGAGGUCGGGUACCUUGUGAAGUAGAGAGACUUAGAGAGGUUAUUUCUGAUAGACCCUUGGCUAAAUUAAAAACAUUACAAAGCAGUUUGAAAAGGGAAAACAACAAGAAAGAAACCAAGACAAAAUGCAACAAUCACUACAACAAAUAUAAUUCAACAAUCGAAGUGCAAGAAACAACAAAUAGUCACAGAAAUGGAGUCUUGAUAGUCUGUUGAAGAAAAAAAAAGAAUUGGCUCGUAAGCUUGAUUUAGAUAAGGCAUAUGAUCAUGUCAAUCGACACUGCCUAAUGAAUUUGUUGAGGUUGAUAACUUUGGUGAGAAGUGGACAAAGCAUAUUAGUUUCUGCAUUUCAACAAUCAAUUUUUCAUUCUAAUCGAUGCAAGCCCUCAAGGUUCUUUCAGCACUCAGAGAGGUCUCAGAUAGGGAAAUCCCCAGUCACCUUAUUUGUUGAUUUUUUUGGUUGAAGUAAUUAAAUUGUAUUAGAUAUUCUAGGCUGCAAAAUGAAAAAUUCCUGUUGGAAAGUAGGUAUCCGCCCCCCAAAAAAGGACAUAUCUGUCAAGUGACAAGUCUGAAGAUAAGAAGAAAGGGGGACUGGGAGUGAGGAAUCUGAGCUCACAUAAUAGAAGCUUACUUUUUAAAUUGUUGCGGAUAAAGUAGAGGGAGUUAGGAAAUCUGGCAGAGAAUGAUUGAUGCUAUUUACGGUGUUAAGGUGGGAUGGAAACAAAAUCCUUCACCAGUUGAAAGUUUGUGGGGGUAUCUGGAUGAUAAUAACCAAAGGGUGGGAUACAUUUCUACAAUAUACUAGUCUAGAGGUUGGAAAUGAUGGUAGAAUUAGAUUUUAGUUGGAUACGUGGUGCGAAGAUGAAAGUCAUAGACGCAGAUUCCCAGACUUAUUCAGCUGUUCUUUGAACAAAGUCGGGUAAAUUGCAGAUUUAAAUUCAGACUCAGGUUCGAAUGUUACUUUCAGAAGAAACCUAAACGAUUGGGAACUAGAUAGUUUCUAGUAACUAUUACAACUGGGGACAUGCUCAAGAGAUCAGAACAAACCAGAUAGGCAAGUUCGGAUUAGCAGCAAAGAUAAAAUUAUUUUUAGUGAAUAAUUGUUAUAAGAUGUUGCAGCAAAAUAGUUACGGAGUUCAUAAUUGGCCUAAGAAACUGAUUUGGAGAACCAAAGCACCUAUGAAAGUAGCUUGUUUUGAUUGGAUAGCAGAUAGGGGAGCUUGAUUAACUAAGAACAGCUUGCAAAGGAGAGGUUAGUCACUGUGCAGCAGAUGUUAUUUAUGUUAUUCUGAGCAGGAAACAGUUGAUCACCUAUUCUUAUAUUGCAGCUUCUCAAGACAAUGCUUGGAACUUUUCUUUAACAUUAUGAGCAUAUAUUUGGUAUUACCACAGAAGAUCAGUUGCCCUUUGGAAGUUUGGCAGUUUUCAAAAAGUUAAAAGAGGCUUAAAGCAGCUAUGUAGAACUAUUCCAAAUUGACGAUAUGGCUGGAAAGGAAAAAAGGCAUGCUUUGAGGGGAAGAGGCUGCAGAUACCUAGAGUCAGAAACAAAUGUAUCAAUGUUUAUAAUAGUACUCUUGCAGGAUUGUAUAAGUAUUUGGAAUUUUGCACGUAAUAGGGGAAAAUAUGAAGUAUGUUUGAAGUUAGAGCUGCAGUUACAUCCUGUAAAAUGGUUGUAACUUGUAAGAACAAAAAUGUUAUAUGGGAAUGAAUGUUGGGUCUCUACAAAUAACAUAUCCACAAUAUCAAGAAUCAUAUCAAUGCAAAUAAGCUGGAUAUGCAUUCAUAUCGCAAUAUUGUAUAUUAUCAACAACAACAACAGUCCCAGUAUAUUCCCACAAAGUGAGGUCUGGGGAGGGUAAAAUGUACGCAGUCCAUACUGCUACCUCCGAAGAAGUAGAGAGGUUGUUUCCGACAGACCCCCGGCUCCAAUAUUAUAUAUUAUCACAUCCCAUAAAAGAUGCAACUAGCAUGCAGAGAGUUUAGAACGAGAGGACGUCAUAUGAGAUGGUAUGGUCAUGUCCUACACAGAUUUUUAUAUGUUCAUAUGAGAUGAGAUAGUCAUUUCAUAUGAUUGAAGGUGAUAAAAAUGGAAGCUAGACCCGAUAUCAUAUAAAAGGAGUUAUCUCAAAAAGAUCUAUAUCUUUCAAAAUGAAUACCCACUUAACUAAGACUGGAGCAUAAUGGAAGCAACGUAUCCAUAUAUGCUCCACGACUAGUUGGUUUAAGGCUUAGUUGUUGCUUUUCACAUUUACAAUAGAUCCAAUAUUUCAUGGACUCUUUUCAUUCUAGUUAAAGACUUGUAGUCUACGUGCAGGAGUAAGCAUACAGUUUAGAGAACAUCCAGUACUUGUAGAGAAAUCAUCAUCUAUCUUAAAGUCAAAGCAUUUCGUAUUACAAUAAAAUGUACCUGAAUGAAUCAACAUGAAAGCAAGAAAUUCAUAUAACCGAACUCAACUAAUUUAGAAUUGAGGAAUAUUUUUUCUUUUUUUGAUAACCAUGGCGUACGGCCAACUUGCACGCACCUUGACUAGUUCCAAGUGACACCUGCCACCUCCCAUCAGCAACAGGUACCACGUAACUUUGUCCAUGCACCAAGACUAUAAUAGAUGGGAAGAUAUCACCUAUAAUUGAGGAAUAGUUGAUUGAACGAUUGACAAAAUGUCCGAUUUCAGAAAUGAUUUAUUUUCAAAAGAUACCAUUCCAUCAUAGAUUAGUAAAAAAAUUUCCCUUAUGUUUACGUUUGAAGCAAUUCAGAAAGUAAAAAUAAAAAUGCUAAAUGAUUUCAUUCAAACAAGCAAUAAAUAAUGCACAACAAAUACAGCAGCACCCCUAUAAAAGGACCCAUCAACUCAUCCAUGAUCCUUUUUUUUAUAACCGUGGUAUCCGGCCAGCUUGCACGCACCUCGACUAGUUCCAUGUGACACCUGUCACCUCCCAUCAGCAACAACCAGGUAACUCUGUCCACCAAGGUUAGAACAGAUGAGACCUAGUGUUUGUCUCAAUUGGUAACUCAUCCAUGAUCUUUGCAACAUGUUUUCCCACAUCUUCAUCUUUGUUACCAUUGUCAAUACUCAUCAGUCAGCAAAUAGUCAAGAAAUGUCAAAUAAAACAGCUCAGGCAUUUGUUCAACUGAAGCAGAUUUUCUUAACAAGUCAAAUCUAACUGCCUUGAAAGAAUGAAAAGCUUUUAGAAAUACCUCAGACCCAAUCAAUGAAAAUUAGAAGCUGAAUCGACCAACAACAAAUAUUUAAUCAGCUCUACAUCAGCAAACGGAUAGUGAAAGAGAAAUAGAAUGCAAAAUCGACCAUAGUUAGAUAUCCUAUGCAACAGUAAGAACAGAAAUACUAUGUCUUUGCAAUAAGACGUGUGUCAUAUUUUAAUAAUUCAAUUAUUUUAGAACGGAGGAAGUCAUACAUAAAAAUCAACUCACAGCUCCACAGAUAAUCAUGGCUUCCUCCAAUGAAUAUAGUUAAUAGUUGUAGAAGCUGGCAGCUGCAACUUCUUCUCUGAGUAAUACUUCCCAGUUGAUUUCUCCCAAAAGUCACUCCACUAAUAAUUAUUAUCUUUAAAAAUCACUCAACUAAUAUCAUGAAUUAUUAUUUCACUUGAUAAAGGAUGCGUUCGGUGGGAUGGAAAAUGUAUUUUUUGGUGUGUUUUUUGAAGUAUGCUGCUUAGGGUAUUAUUGAGUAUGUUAAUUUCUAAUAUAUCUUGCUCUUUUCCAUUUUCUA
rnacentral:lncRNA from 1 species